rnacentral:rRNA from 1 species
AUUGAACGCUGGCGGCAUGCCUUACACAUGCAAGUCGAACGGCAGGCACGGGAGCAAUCCUGGUGGCGAGUGGGCGAACGGGUGAGUAAUAUAUCGGAACGUGCCCAGUCGUGGGGGAUAACGUAGCGAAAGCUACGCUAAUACCGCAUACGAUCUACGGAUGAAAGCGGGGGAUCGCAAGACCUCGCGCGAUUGGAGCGGCCGAUAUCAGAUUAGGUAGUUGGUGAGGUAAAGGCUCACCAAGCCGACGAUCUGUAGCUGGUCUGAGAGGACGACCAGCCACACUGGGACUGAGACACGGCCCAGACUCCUACGGGAGGCAGCAGUGGGGAAUUUUGGACAAUGGGCGCAAGCCUGAUCCAGCAAUGCCGCGUGCAGGAUGAAGGCCUUCGGGUUGUAAACUGCUUUUGUACGGAACGAAACGGUGAGCUCUAAUACAGUUUGCUAAUGACGGUACCGUAAGAAUAAGCACCGGCUAACUACGUG